GCGGUGCCGCCAUAUUGAAAAAUUCUGCUGCUGGUAAAUUUUUAUUUUUUGACUUUUUUCGGUCAACUAAGACCUUCUAAUGUGUUUUCUCGCAAGGAUGGGUAUAAAAACGGUCGAAACUGGCCAAAACGGGUCGAAAACGGGCAGUCUGAGAAAAAUUGCCGUCGUGGGCAGCGGUGCCGCCGUGCUGGAAUUUUGAAAUUGGCUGAAAAAAG
rnacentral:lncRNA from 1 species